rnacentral:rRNA from 1 species
AACGCGAAGAACCUUACCAGGUCUUGACAUCCAACUAACGAGGCAGAGAUGCGUCAGGUGCCCUUCGGGGAAAGUUGAGACAGGUGGUGCAUGGUUGUCGUCAGCUCGUGUCGUGAGAUGUUGGGUUAAGUCCCGCAGCGAGCGCAACCCUUGCCAUUAGUUGCUACGCAAGAGCACUCUAAUGGGACUGCCGUUGAUAUAACGGAGGAAGGUGGGGACGACGUCAAAUCAUCAUGCCCCUUAUGACCUGGGCUACACACGUACUACAAUGGCCGUUAACAGAGGGAAGCAAUACAGCGAUGUGGAGCAAACCCCCAAAAACGGUCCCAGUUCGGAUUGCAGGCUGAAACUCGCCUGUAUGAAGGUGGAAUUGCUAGUAAUCGUGGGUCAGCAUGCCGCGGUGAAUACGUUCCCGGGUCUUGUACACACCG